AUCUUAUUCCCUAGGGCAGGAUUGCUAAACAAAGCCCUGCGGGGGGAGUUACAAGCCAUGCCCUCAGGAUGUAAUACAAGAUGGAGGCUUGAUUUCACAACCAAAACUUUCCAGAGAAUAUAGUGAUAGAUGUUGGAGGUCCCUAGUCUAGCACAACAUCUUCUAAAAGAAAAUGAAACUUUUAAAAGUUAACUACCGACAGGGUAGAGAGAAAAGAAAAGAAACAGUUUAAAAAUACCUGAGGAAGAGCCUCUCAUUCCUAUGCAACUGAUUCGUCCACCAUGGAGAUUAGUUCAAUUAUUGUCCAAUGGAGUAGAACCCCUUGGCUGGGGUAGGGGAAGGAGAAGACCGCAAGCUGGCUCUGCGAAGACCCUUGAGCCACGCGUCCCAGCCCCAGCAUGAAGCAGUGAUGGAAGGAAAAUGUCUGGGAAGCCCCGGUGGAAUGCAACAGGACCCAGACCUCUGGUUUAAUUCAGCACAUGAAACAAUUUCUUCUCCUACCUUUUGAAAAGCAGCUGCUAAUAAGUCCCUGAGUUGGCGGGACUACUCAAUCAUCAAAUUUCCUGGAAGUAGA
rnacentral:lncRNA from 1 species